rnacentral:rRNA from 1 species
UACGUAGGGCGCAAGCGUUGUCCGGAAUUAUUGGGCGUAAAGAGCUCGUAGGCGGUUUGUCGCGUCUGCUGUGAAAACCUAAGGCUCAACCUUGGGCUUGCAGUGGGUACGGGCAGACUAGAGUGCGGUAGGGGUGACUGGAAUUCCUGGUGUAGCGGUGGAAUGCGCAGAUAUCAGGAGGAACACCGAUGGCGAAGGCAGGUCACUGGGC